GGCGUGGUGGCGGAGUGGUUAUCGCGCAAGACUAGAAAUCUUGUUCCUUCGGGAGCGCAGGUUCGAAUCCUGCCCACGUCG
rfam:Stagonospora sp. SRC1lsM3a unplaced genomic scaffold IQ06scaffold_4, whole genome shotgun sequence.